GACGAACCACACGAACGUUAUUCGGAAUUACUGGGCGUAAAGUGUGCGCAGGUGGCCUCGCAAGUCGAGUGUGAAAUCCCCGGGCUUAACUUGGGAAUUGCGCUCGAAACUACGGGGCUCGAGUGUGGCAGAGGGAGGUGGAAUUCCACGUGUAGCGGUGAAAUGCGUAGAGAUGUGGAGGAACACCAAUGGCGAAGGCAGCCUCCUGGGCCAACACUGACGCUCAUGCACGAAAGCGUGGGGAGCAAACAGG
rnacentral:rRNA from 1 species